GAAUUAGUGGAGGUCGGGCGUACAUGACAUUUGAGGCAUAGUUGUCACUACUUCCGCAGUGGAGCUUCAACUGAAUGCAUCAAGAGUUCUUUAUCAGCUUGCUGCUUCCACUCUUCUUCCGGUUAUCACUAUGCUGCAGCAGAAAUUUGGUUCAAUCCUCCAGUUAAGUUCAUUAUCAGAUGUCCUUCUAGGCUGCCAAACAAUUGAUGGGUACUGCUUGAUUCUUUCCGGGCAUUAUGAAUCGCAUUUGUUUAGUCUCACGAAACUACUGCUUUCAUGGUUUCACCAUCACUAGAAAAGGUAGAAGUUGAA